UGUGCCAUUUAAAUGUGUCAGUGUGUGUCAAUUACGUAACUAUGCGCGGAAUCGAACGUGUUUCGGUGGGGCUCGGGACACGGGUUAAACAUGUUUAAUAUAUCUAAGCGGGGAGUGUGGAAUAUUAUAUUUUUACUACCUACUAUUUAGUAUUUACCUACUACUCAUUUAUAGAUAGGUAUUUAGUAUUAUUUUGUUUACUUUAUUUAUUUUGGUCUCGCUAGUCGCUACCCACUGGUCCCACUGGUCUAACUGUCGGAUACUGAAUUAUACGGUAUUGACAGCUUAAGAGUGUUUUACGCUCUGUCAGACUUGACUAUUAUUUACUCGUUCGUGUUUCUCAUCCAUCCUCCAUCUCGGACCUGAACCCCGGUGAACCAUCGGUUCGAGUUGUCACGUGGUUUCCGAAUUGCCGCAUUUCCGACGGAGUGAAGAAAAGCCUGUGAGCCUUUGUUUAUAAUACUUAAACGAAAAAUCCUAAGCAAAAUGCAUAAUAAUAUGACAAUGCGCGAACUGGAAGAUACUCUUAAAAUGAUAGAACAUUACGAGUGCGAAAUGAUCAAACGCGACAAGAUCAAACAAAUUCUCAAAACUCGCGUUGCCGAAGUAGUGAGGACCAAAAAACGGGCCGCUCGCAAAAGAGCAAAAAUUAUUCAACGUCGAGUACAUCUAGCUCAAGAAAUGGCAAUGUUAACGGGUACCGCACCGGCACCGAUUGAUCCGAAUCUCCAACUCGAAUUCGACGAGGAAGAAUUAAAGAUCAUACGCCCAUAUCUACAGUAACUGUCAAAAUGUUGACAUCGAAAGACGAGGACACGUCAAUUAUUAUACCGAAGAGCCUAAGAAAUGGCCAUUAGUAUGUAGAAAAAAAUUAUUUUUUGUUUAAUUUAAAUUAUAAACCAUUUAUCCUUUUAUGCACAUAGUUCUUAUUCUGGUUAUUAUAACAUUUAUUUACAUGAUAA